rnacentral:misc_RNA from 1 species
UCCGAGCGUCAUUGCUGCCCUCAAGCCCGGCUUGUGUGUUGGGCCCCGCCGCCUCGGCGGGCCCUAAAGUCAGUGGCGGUGCCAUCCGGCUCCGAGCGUAGUAAUUCUUCUCGCUCUGGAGGUCCGGUUGCGUGCUUGCCAUCAACCCCCAAUUUUUUCAGGUUGACCUCGGAUCAGGUAGGGAUACCCGCUGAACUUAA